rnacentral:rRNA from 1 species
UGGAGAGUUUGAUCCUGGCUCAGAUUGAACGCUGGCGGCAUGCCUUACACAUGCAAGUCGAACGGCAGCAUGAUCUAGCUUGCUAGAUUGAUGGCGAGUGGCGAACGGGUGAGUAAUACAUCGGAACGUGCCCUGUAGUGGGGGAUAACUAGUCGAAAGAUUAGCUAAUACCGCAUACGACCUGAGGGUUGAAAGUGGGGGACCGCAAGGCCUCAUGCUAUAGGAGCGGCCGAUKUCUGAUUAGCUAGUUGGUGAGGUAAAGGCUCACCAAGGCGACGAUCAGUAGCUGGUCUGAGAGGACGAUCAGCCACACUGGGACUGAGACACACGCCCUACGAGACUCCUACGGGAGGCAGCAGUGGGGAAUUUUGGACAAUGGGGGCAACCCUGAUCCAGCAAWGCCGCGUGUGUGAAGAAGGCCUUCGGGUUGUAAAGCACUUUUGUCCGGAAAGAAAUCGCACUUACUAAUAUUAGGUGUGGAUGACGGUACCGGAAGAAUAAGGACCGGCUAACUACGUGCCAGCAGCCGCGGUAAUACGUAGGGUCCAAGCGUUAAUCGGAAUUACUGGGCGUAAAGCGCACGCAGG